rnacentral:lncRNA from 1 species
GAGGUAUUUGAAGAUAUUACAGUGAGAAAAAGUCCCCAGAAAAGAAGAUCAAAAAGCCGAACGUCUUGGUCCUUAUUUGUGUGAAAACAUUUUUAUGGCUAGAGAGUACCUCAGUUUCAAAGACAUCAGACAAUGAGAUAUUGGCUUAUACAUUGGGAAAGACCAUUAAAACUGGCACGAACUUUGAAGUUGGGAUAGUAAACAGCGACGACAGAGGCAAUAUUGGUACGCGUACUAGAACUAAACAAUCCGCCCUUUUGCAAAAUGUACCCAGCAAUGAGAUUAAAAGCUUCCGGUUACAAAGCAAGAGUAAUACUUGACGCGACAGAACCAUAACAAAGGACAUAUAAUACAAGUUGUGUGAAAUAUAACCAAUUUCCAGAGACAGGGAGGAAUUCGGCUGAAGUUGAAGUAUAUGAUUGUGCCAAAGUGAUGUGAAGAACUAAUGCUUAUUUCAUGUAGAUACAGCUGGAUUGUAUUAUCAAAAAUUAUUUUUGUUAAAGUCAUAGACAUGGGUUGCACACAGAUUGAAAUAUCCAGCUUAUAUAUUCACAUGUCAUGUCACCUAUAUUUAUACACUUUGUAAAAAAGUCAACAUUUUUGGUUCGUUUUUAAAGAUAUCCUGUGGCUAAAAUAAUAUAUUUAGAUAUUGACUUCUAAUGUAGAGCCCUCAUCAAAUAUAUAUAACUGUACUAAAUAUAUAAAUUAAUUGGUUAUGUAGAGCUUCAUUUUAGUGGUACAUCACAUUUAUACUGUGUUCCGCUAUAUAUGUAAACAGUAUGUACUAUUUUCAACCUAAUUCAUAGCACUGUUAAUAUACAUAAACUUGGCUAUUUUAUGUUUACAUAAAGUAUACGUAGAAUUUUUGCUCAUGUUUUCAAAUAUGACAUUUGGGUCAAGUAUAUCUUUAACAUUCCUUAUUUGUAUUUGAUUCAUAGAGGAUAUUCAAGUUGUUUUUCAUGAAUGAAGUUUUAUCACAAUUUUCAUUUACCAAUAUGACAGCUCCUAAAUUUGAUGUGUGUAAAUUUGACAUGGCAACUGGAGAAUUACAAUUUGGGUAAUGCGUAUAAAUUGAAUUAUUUCUAGCGCCAAUUCUUUAUGUUCAUGCGUGUAAAUUGCACUAUUGCAAGUGCGCAAUUACUAGUUACAAAUAGCAUUGAAUUUCACUGAAAAUUAAAAAUAUCUGUUUCGAACUUUUUAUUUCUUUCUAUCGUAUUUCUAUAUUAGUUGUUUCCAAUGUGUUAUUUCUUUUCAUUCUAAUUACGUAUUAACUUGCAAAAUAGAC